CAUGCAUGUACCGGGAGGGUGUUUGCAGAGGACAAUGAUGACAAGUCACCUACAUGACCAAAAUCAGCUUCUCUCACCGAGACAAGGACAAACUUGGAUUUUCAUGGUAAUUGUACAGCAGUUAUGUGUCUGUGUUGGCCCUGUGAUGGACUGGCAACCUGUCCAGCAACCUGUCCAGCAGCCUGUCCAGCAGCCUGUCCAGCAACCUGUCCAACAUGCACACGUGUGCUUGUUGACCCAUCUGUCCUGUCCUCUCCUACCUUAACCGGUCAAGGCAGAUGGCCGCCUUUACUGAGUCUGGUUCUGCUGGAUGU